rnacentral:rRNA from 1 species
UGGGACCUGCAUAACCCCGGGAAACUGGGGAUAAUUCGGGAUAACGCAUAUGUGCUGGAAUGCUUUAUGCGUAAAAAGGAUUCGUCCGCCCAAGGAUGGGUCUGCGGCCUAUCAGGUAGUAGUGGGUGUAAUGUACCUACUAGCCGACAACGGGUACGGGUUGUGAGAGCAAGAGCCCGGAGAUGGAUUCUGAGACAUGAAUCCAGGCCCUACGGGGCGCAGCAGGCGCGAAAACUUUACAAUGCGGGAAACCGUGAUAAGGGGACACCGAGUGUCAGCAUCAUAUGCUGGCUGUCCAGGUGUGUAAAAUACACCUGUUAGCAAGGGCCGGGCAAGACCGGUGCCAGCCGCCGCGGUAACACCGGCGGCCCGAGUGGUGAUCGUGAUUAUUGGGUCUAAAGGGUCCGUAGCCGGUUUGGUCAGUCCUCCGGGAAAUCUGAUAGCUCAACUAUUAGGCUAUCGGGGGAUACUACCAGACUUGGAACCGGGAGAGGUAAGAGGUACUACAGGGGUAGGAGUGAAAUCUUGUAAUCCCUGUGGGACCACCUGUGGCGAAGGCGUCUUACCAGAACGGGUUCGACGGUGAGGGACGAAAGCUGGGGGCACGAACCGGAUUAGAUACCCGGGUAGUCCCAGCCGUAAACGAUGCUCGCUAGGUGUCAGGCAUGGCGCGACCGUGUCUGGUGCCGCAGGGAAGCCGUGAAGCGAGCCACCUGGGAAGUACGGCCGCAAGGCUGAAACUUAAAGGAA